CUUUACACAAAUCACUACACUUAUAAAUGAAAGACUAAAUCUUACUGUCCUCUUCUUUUCAUUUCCACCAAACUAAAAUCACCAUUGUUACUCUACAAAACUCUGUCACUCCGUUUGAGAUAGGUGGUGAUUUUUCUAAUACAUAUUCGCCUUCAUUGGAAUAGCUUGAGAAAAAUUUCAAAUAAAAUUAGCAUAGUUUGGAAGAAUAUGAAUAUAUACGAAAGAGAGCAGAUACAAGAAGUAACAAUUGAGAUAUAUUCAGUCACUUUGAUCAUAUGAACCAGCCUCUUCUUCUUCAUCAUUUUCUCUCUGUUUCUUUAAUUAAAAAAAUUCUAAUUUGUAUGAGGUAAGUCUAAACUAGAAGCUCCUGCUCCCCAAGAUGAGGUACCAUUCAAAGCAAAACCCUAACUCACACCUUCUUUUGGAUUUUUAGUGUAGGGUAAGUGUAUGAAUUGAAUUGAUUCAUGACGGAACAUCUUUUUUUUUGUAUGUGUUUGUGGAAUUAUCCUUGGAUCUUAUGAAUUUGAAAAAAAAGCAUUUGAAUUAUAAUUACAAGAUUCAUCGCAAAAUAAGUAUAAAUUAGUGUUUGUUACUCUUUGAAAGGAUUUUACCUUUUACUUUCUUAGUGAAUAUCGUCAUAAUUAGUCUGUUUAAGUUUUCAUAGUGUAGUAUACUUAAUUUUGAGCUCACUAAUUAAGGAUCGAUUUGAUUAAACAAGCAGGUAUCAUUAAUGUCGUUCUUCUAGUUGAUGUUUUACUUUGAGUUAUGCUCCUCUUUAUUAUAACAAAUGAAGAAACUGAUGCUUCAUAUUAACUGUUUGGUUGUGUUGAUUCUGCCAUGGAAUAUGUGCAGCAGUUAAAAUGUCAAAUGUCAAUUUCUUCAAGGAAGAGACUGAUGAUUGAUUUCAAUAGGUUACAGUAGGACCCUCCUGAAGGUAAUCCUCGAAUUUUUAAUUUUAUGAAGUCAUUAAUAAUUAAAUGGAUAAAAGUAGGAGUUCUGUCAAAUAAAUCGGGAUGGACUGGGAGUUUUUUUGUCUUGAAUUGCAGAAUAAAAAAUGGAAAGAUUGUGCAUUGUCUAUGUUGCUUUAUUAUCACAAGUUUCGACUUCAGUUGAUUAUUGCUUAAUGCAUUUAUUACCUGUAUAUCUUCCCUAAUAAAAUGUAUUACCUUAAAAGUUUAUGAGACUACAUAUAAAGUCUUUAGUCUUACAAGGUUAGAAUGUGUAAUGUUACCUGGAGUCAGUAGAACUGAAAUACCAUAAAAAUCUGAUUCAUGCAUAAUUGAGUUGAACAAUGAGAAGAUAUUUUUUGGGGUGCCUAUUGAGGAAUAUACUAGUGUAAAAUUCAUCUGAUUUUUCAUAGAAAAAUAUGCUUAGUGAUCAUUAUCAUUCUUGGUAAGAGAAGGUUUUGUCAGACAUUUGGAGGGCAAAUCCGUAAUUUCAUCUUCUCCCUUCUUUCUUUCUUACGGCGUGUCCUCACAUUCUCCCUUCCUUUCUUUCUUUGAUGCAUGUUCUCACAUUGGUGGAGAAUGAUCCACGCUUGCAUCUUUGAUUUCUACAUUUGUUAUUUUGAAGAAAUUUUCUUUAUGUUCCAUGGAAAACAAUAUAUAUUCAAUUUCUGUCCUAAAUUGGGAGACGAAGUUCCAGUUUCUCCCAUGAACAAAAAGGUACACUUCCAUUCUCUGCCUCAUUUGUUUCCUGUGUUUCCUAUUUCCCAUUCAUUACUUUUCUAUGUUUCCUAUUUGCCAUUCAUUAAUUUCCUGGUGUUUUCUUUCGCUCGGAUGUUUUCCCUAAAAACACUUACUGUACAUGCAUCUUUUUGUCUUUGUUUUCUUGGUUUCUGUAUUAUUCAAUGUUUUGUUUGCUAAUUUCAAUUGUUAAUUUUGCUGGUUUGUUGAAUCCGCAAUAUAUUUUGAACUUUGAUUUUCCUUUUCUUUUCUCUGUUUGCUUAUUUAUUUCACUUUUCCCCAAUCUUUUAAUAUAGUGGAUUUAUUUGUUUUGUCAUGUGUUUUGACACACAUUAAUCUAUCUGAAAAGCUUGUUCCCUCUUAGUGUUCGUAAAAUUUCUUCAGUUAAAUAGAUUGUCCUGUUGUGGUUUAUCAAAAUAAGGACUUUGAAACAUAUAGUGUUGAAGGAUGUGAUAUACGUUUGUUACUUUAGCUUGAUCAAACUUAUGCUUAUCACUUAUCAAUGAAUGAACGUCGACUGAAGUUACAACUUGCUAUGUAAUUAUUAUUUGUUCAUCCACAUUUUAGAAAAAGUUUAUCAAGUCUUAGAUCCUACAGAGAAAAAUGCGCGAAAAUAAUUCUCAUUUUUUCACCUUUUUGUUAACUUUCAUGUUUUGAAGAGCUUAGGUAAUUUUGGAAGGACCCAAGGUAGUAUAAGAGACUCAGUGGAAAGUAUAGCCUAUUAAAAAAAUCAAAUGAACAAAGUUAUUUUAUGUUUUGCUUUUACAUCUGAUUGAGAAUGUCAAAGUCUCUUUCUUGUUUCUUUAAAACUUUGUUCUUGGUUGAGUGUUAUUUGUGGUAUAUUAAUUUGACAGCUAAUUUUAGGACACAUCUAUACUACUUGCGAAACUCAUAUGAUAAUAAUAUUGAAUUUAGGGAUAUAGUUAUAGUUGCCUGCACCAUUAAGAAUAUCUUGAUUUCAUGCUACUCUCAUAUGGUUGAUGCUUGCAGGGGGAUCGAAAGCACAUACUUAUUGGUUACCCUAAGGACAUGAUAUUAACUUUACGAUUUAUGUAAAAUUCAAGGUUCUUGGAUUUAGGAAAAUGUCGGUAAUUGAAAUUGUAUUGUUGCCAAAAGUAUACUCGAUCUAUUGUAUUGAGCGAUGAAUAUUUUUUUGUACUAUUGUCAUAUUAUUGGUAUGUAUUUGGCUUUGUGGAAAUUAUUAAUAGUAGAGAUCUUUAUUAAAUUGUUUUCUUAGUAUUGGUUGUACAAGACAUGUUUUUCAAAGUUUAUUUGAACCAUAUAGUUUCGAUUUA